GACGAACGCUGGCGGCGUGCUUAACACAUGCAAGUCGAGCGGUAAGGCCCUUUCGGGGGUACACGAGCGGCGAACGGGUGAGUAACGCGUGGGUGACCUACCUUCGAGUGAGGGAUAACGUCCCGAAAGGGACGCUAAUACCGCAUAACAUCCUGCUUUUGAAUGGGUGGAGAUCAAAGCCGGGGAUCGCAAGACCUGGCGCUUGAUGAGGGGCCCGCGUCUGAUUAGCUAGUUGGUGAGGAACGGCCCACCAAGGCAACGAUUAGUAUCC
rnacentral:rRNA from 1 species